GGUAGUGUAGCACAGCGGUCAGGGCGUCGGGCUUGCACCUCAAAGGUUGCAGGUUCAAUUCUUAGGUAGGGCACUGCUG